rnacentral:rRNA from 1 species
AGAACGAACGCUGGCGGCGUGCCUAACACAUGCAAGUCGAGCGAGAAAGGGGCUUCGGCCCUGAGUAAAGCGGCGCACGGGUGCGUAACGCGUGGGUAAUCUGCCCCGAGAAGGGGGAUAACCUUCCGAAAGGAGGGCUAAUACCCCAUGAGACCACGGGCUGCGGAGUCCGUGGGAAAAGGGUGGGAUCUUCGGACCUGCCGUCUUGGGAUGAGCCCGCGUGCUAUCAGGUAGUUGGUGG